GAUGAACGCUAGCUACAGGCUUAACACAUGCAAGUCGAGGGGCAUCACAGUGUAGCAAUACACGGGUGGCGACCGGCGCACGGGUGCGUAACACGUAUCCAAUCUGCCCGUUACUCGGGGAUAGCCUUCUGAAAGGAAGAUUAAUACCCGAUGGCAUGUAUUUCCGGCAUCGGAGAUACAUUAAAGAUUUAUCGGUAACGGAUGAGGAUGCGUACGAUUAGCUAGUUGGCGGGGUAACGGCCCACCAAGGCUACGAUCGUUAGGGGUUCUGAGAGGAAGGUCCCCCACACUGGAACUGAGACACGGUCCAGACUCCUACGGGAGGCAGCAGUGAGGAAUAUUGGUCAAUGGUCGGAAGACUGAACCAGCCAAGUAGCGUGAAGGAUGACUGCCCUACGGGUUGUAAACUUCUUUUGUUUGGGAAUAAAAGACGCUACGUGUAGCGUUCUGCAUGUACCUUACGAAUAAGCAUCGGCUAAUUCCGUGCCAGCAGCCG
rnacentral:rRNA from 1 species